rnacentral:rRNA from 1 species
CUUAACACAUGCAAGUCGAGGGGCAGCAUGGUCUUAGCUUGCUAAGACUGAUGGCGACCGGCGCACGGGUGAGUAACACGUAUCCAACCUGCCGUCUACUCUUGGACAGCCUUCUGAAAGGAAGAUUAAUACAAGAUGGCAUCAUGAGUCCGCAUGUUCACAUGAUUAAAGGUAUUCCGGUAGACGAUGGGGAUGCGUUCCAUUAGAUAGUAGGCGGGGUAACGGCCCACCUAGUCUUCGAUGGAUAGGGGUUCUGAGAGGAAGGUCCCCCACAUUGGAACUGAGACACGGUCCAAACUCCUACGGGAGGCAGCAGUGAGGAAUAUUGGUCAAUGGGCGAGAGCCUGAACCAGCCAAGUAGCGUGAAGGAUGACUGCCCUAUGGGUUGUAAACUUCUUUUAUAAAGGAAUAAAGUCGGGUAUGCAUACCCGUUUGCAUGUACUUUAUGAAUAAGGAUCGGCUAACUCCGUGCCAGCAGCCGCGGUAAUACGGAGGAUCCGAGCGUUAUCCGGAUUUAUUGGGUUUAAAGGGAGCGUAGAUGGAUGUUUAAGUCAGUUGUGAAAGUUUGCGGCUCAACCGUAAAAUUGCAGUUGAUACUGGAUAUCUUGAGUGCAGUUGAGGCAGGCGGAAUUCGUGGUGUAGCGGUGAAAUGCUUAGAUAUCACGAAGAACUCCGAUUGCGAAGGCAGCCUGCUAAG